ACUCCUACGGGAGGCAGCAGUAAGGAAUAUUGCGCAAUGGGCGAAAGCCUGACGCAGCGACGCCGCGUGGGGGAUGAAGGUCUUCGGAUUGUAAACCCCUUUCGGGAGGGAAGAUGGGAUGGGGUAACCCAUUCGGACGGUACCUCCAGAAGCAGCCACGGCUAACUUCGUGCCAGCAGCCGCGGUAAUACGAAGGUGGCAAGCGUUGUUCGGAUUUACUGGGCGUACAGGGAGCGUAGGCGGUUGGGUAAGCCCUCCGUGAAAUCUCCGGGCCUAACCCGGAAAGUGCGGAGGGGACUGCUCGGCUAGAGAAUGGGAGAGGAGCGCGGAAUUCCCG
rnacentral:rRNA from 1 species